rnacentral:rRNA from 1 species
CCUACGGGGGGCAGCAGUGGGGAAUAUUGCACAAUGGGCGCAAGCCUGAUGCAGCCAUGCCGCGUGCGUGAAGAAGGCCUUCGGGUUGUAAAGCACUUUCAGCGGGGAGGAAGGCGGUGAGGUUAAUAACCUCAUCGAUUGACGUUACCCGCAGAAGAAGCACCGGCUAACUCCGUGCCAGCAGCCGCGGUAAUACGGAGGGUGCAAGCGUUAAUCGGAAUUACUGGGCGUAAAGCGCACGCAGGCGGUCUGUCAAGUCGGAUGUGAAAUCCCCGGGCUCAACCUGGGAACUGCAUUCGAAACUGGCAGGCUAGAGUCUUGUAGAGGGGGGUAGAAUUCCAGGUGUAGCGGUGAAAUGCGUAGAGAUCUGGAGGAAUACCGGUGGCGAAGGCGGCCCCCUGGACAAAGACUGACGCUCAGGUGCGAAAGCGUGGGGAGCAAACAGGAUUAGAUACCCGAGUAGUC